GUGCUCGCUUCGGCAGCACAUACACUAAAAUUGAAAUGUUACAGAGAAAAUUAGCAUGCCCCUGUGCAAGGAUGAAAUGCAAAUUCAUGAAGCAUUCCAUAUUUUU